CAGGGACCCCAAUAAGAGAUCAGGAUAUCAACUUUCUACAUAUUGUUACAAAAAGGCCACGACGAAUACCUAUUAGAAUCAAUCAUAAAACAAUUAUAGUUAUUUGCUAAUACAUUUUUUUACGUUACUUUUAUAUGUAUAGGAAGUGGUACCCCAGAAAUGGGGCCUUUAUUUUAGAAGAGAUUAGGAAAAAACUCCGUGUUAAAUAAAAUAUUGAAGAAAUUACGAGAUGUUAAUUUAGUUAGUCAAGUCAAAAAAACAUGAGUUAGAAUAGACAUAAUUGUCAGUGGAAGUAAUAGGAACCGCCAAUUAUUUUUGACCCAACAAUAUUUAUAUAAGCUCAAAUUACCCAUACAAAACACGACUCUCAUCCUUUCAGGAACUUGAAAAUGUUUGCAAUAAGCAGUGUCUUGAAAGGACUAUUAGAAAGGGCUUAAUAUAAGAUGCCCUUUUGUCUGAAAUCGAAAAUACACCUUUAAGUCGAGGUUUCAUUUAAGAUAAUAUGGAAAAAGGAUAGAUAUUAUUCAAAGAAUUUAGUACCAGUUGCCAUUUAUUAUUUUUUUUUAGAAAUU